rnacentral:rRNA from 1 species
GAUGAAUGCUGGCGGCGUGCCUAACACAUGCAAGUCGAACGGUAGCAGGUCUAGUUUACUAGAUGCUGACGAGUGGCGGACGGCUGAGUAACGCGUGGGAACGUGCCCUAAAGUGAGGGAUAACGCACCGAAAGGUGUGCUAAUACCGCAUAUGAUCUUCGGAUUAAAGAAUUUAUUCGCUUUAGGAGCGGCCCGCGUCGGAUUAGGUUGUUGGUGAGGUAAUGGCUCACCAAGCCGACGAUCCGUAGCUGGUCUGAGAGGAUGACCAGCCAGACUGGAACUGAGACACGGUCCAGACUCCUACGGGAGGCAGCAGUGAGGAAUCUUCCACAAUGGGCGAAAGCCUGAUGGAGCAACGCCGCGUGCAGGAUGAAGGCCCUCGGGUCGUAAACUGCUUUUAUUAGUGAAGAAUAUGACGGUAACUAAUGAAUAAGGAUCGGCUAACUACGUG